rnacentral:misc_RNA from 1 species
CUGAGACAACUGCCCUAUGGGUAGAAACUCACACCCUUGAUAACAUACCAUUUGUUGCUUUGGCGGGCCACAGGCUUUCUAGCACACCGGCUUUGGCUGGUGAGCGCCCGCCAGAGGACCCCAAACUCUGAAUGUUAGUGUCGUCUGAGUACUAUACAAUAGUUA